GUACUUGAUCAUCGAGAACUUCAUCCCGCCGGAGGAGAAGAACAAGAUCAUGAAUCGCCUGUACUUCGACUGUGAGGAGGACCAGUGGAAGUUCCAGCCGCUUGUGCCUGCUGGCGGAAACAGCAACCAAAUGAAGAAGAGGCCGACGUCUGCCGUGGGCUACAAGAGACCCAUCAGCCAGUACGCCCGCGUGGCCAUGGCCAUGGGCUCGCAUCCCCGGUA